UACGUAGGGUGCGAGCGUUGUCCGGAAUUAUUGGGCGUAAAGAGCUUGUAGGCGGUUUGUCGCGUCUGCUGUGAAAAUCCGGGGCUCAACCCCGGACUUGCAGUGGGUACGGGGCAGACUAGAGUGUGGUAGGGGAGACUGGAAUUCCUGGUGUAGCGGUGAAAUGCGCAGAUAUCAGGAGGAACACCGAUGGCGAAGGCAGGUCUCUGGGCCACUACUGACGUGAGAAGCGAAAAGCAUGGGGGAGCGAACAGG
rnacentral:rRNA from 1 species